rnacentral:rRNA from 1 species
GACGAACGCUGGCGGCGUGCUUAACACAUGCAAGUCGAACGGAAAGGCCCUGCUUUUGUGGGGUGCUCGAGUGGCGAACGGGUGAGUAACACGUGAGUAACCUGCCCUUUACUUUGGGAUAACUUCAGGAAACUGGGGCUAAUACCGGAUAGGAGCUCCUGCUGCAUGGUGGGGGUUGGAAAGUUUCGGCGGUUGGGGAUGGACUCGCGGCUUAUCUGCUUGUUGGUGGGGUAGUGGCUUACCAAGGCUUUGACGGGUAGCCGGCCUGAUAGGGUGACCGGUCACAUUGGGACUGAGAUACGGACCAGACUUCUACGGGAGGCAGCAGUGGGGAAUGGUGCAAAAUGGGCGGAUGCCUGAUGCAGCAACGCCGCGUGCGUGAUGACGGCCUUCGGGUUGUAAACCGCUUUCGCCUGUGACGAUGCGUGAGUGACGGUAAUGGGUAAAGAAGCACCGGCUAACUACGUG